AACGAACGCUGGCGGCAGGCUUAACACAUGCAAGUCGAACGCAUCGCAAGAUGAGUGGCAGACGGGUGAGGAACACGUGGGAACAUCCCUUUCAGUUCGGAAUAACUCAGGGAAACUUGAGCUAAUAACGGAUACGUCCGUGAGGAGAAAGAUUUAUCGCUGAAAGAUUGGCCCGCGUCUGAUUAGCUAGUUGGUGAGGUAAUGGCUCACCAAGGCUACGAUCAGUAGCUGAUCUGAGAGGAUGAUCAGCCAAAUUGGGACUGAGACACGGCCCAAACGCCUACGGGGGGAAGCAGUGGGGAAUAUUGGACAAUGGGCGCAAGCCUGAUCCAGCCAUGCCGCGUGAGUGAUGAAGGCCUUCGGGUUGUAAAGCUCUUUUGUCCGGGAAGAUAAUGACUGUACCGGAAGAAUAAGCCCCGGCAAACUUCGUGCCAGCAGCCGCCGCUG
rnacentral:rRNA from 1 species